rnacentral:rRNA from 1 species
AGUGGCGGACGGGUGAGUAACGCGUGAGAAUCUGCCCUUUGGAUGGGGAUAACGACUGGAAACGGUCGCUAAUACCCAAUAUGCCGAGAGGUGAAACUUAUAUGGCCAGAGGAUGAGCUCGCGUCUGAUUAGCUAGUUGGAGUGGUAACGGCACACCAAGGCGACGAUCAGUAGCUGGUCUGAGAGGAUGAUCAGCCACACUGGGACUGAGACACGGCCCAGACUCCUACGGGAGGCAGCAGUGGGGAAUUUUCCGCAAUGGGCGAAAGCCUGACGGAGCAAGACCGCGUGAGGGAGGAAGGCCUACUGGUUGUAAACCUCUUUUGAUAGGGAAGAAGAAAGUGACGGUACCUAUCGAAUCAGCAUCGGCUAACUCCGUGCCAGCAGCCGCGGUAAUACGGAGGAUGCGAGCGUUAUCCGGAAUUAUUGGGCGUAAAGCGUCCGUAGGUGGUUAUUCAAGUCAGCUGUCAAAGGAUGGAGCUUAACUCCAUAAAGGCAGUUGAAACUGUGUAGCUAGAGUGCGAUAGGGGCAAGGGGAAUUCCCAGUGUAGCGGUGAAAUGCGUAGAUAUUGGGAAGAACAUCGGUGGCGAAAGCGCCUUGCUGGGUCUGCACUGACACUGAGGGACGAAAGCUAGGGGAGCGAAAGGGAUUAGAUACCCCUGUAGUCUUAGCUGUAAACGAUGGAUACUAGG